GAUGAACGCUGGCGGCGUGCCUAACACAUGCAAGUCGAGCGAUUUACUUCGGGAAAGAGCGGCGGACGGGUUAGUAACGCGUGGGUAACCUGCCCUGUACACACGGAUAACAUACCGAAAGGAAAGCUAAUACGAGGUAGUAUGCGUUAGUCACAUGGCUAAAGUAUCAAAGCUCCGGCGGUACAGGAUGGACCCGCGUCUGAUUAGCUAGUUGGGAAGAUAACGGCUUACGAAGGCGACGAUCAGUAGCCGACCUGAGAGGGUGAUCGGCCACAUUGGAACUGAGACACGGUCCAAACUACUACGGGAGGCAGCAGUGGGGAAUAUUGCACAAUGGGAGAAAGCCUGAUGCAGCAACGCCGCGUGAGCGAUGAAGGCCUUCGGGUCGUAAAGCUCUGUCUUCAAGGAAGAUAAUGACGGUACUUGAGGAGGAAGCCCCGGCUAACUACGUGCCAGCAGCCGCCGUAA
rnacentral:rRNA from 1 species